rnacentral:lncRNA from 1 species
GUCCACAAGCUGUCAACAAGUUGUGUUCGCACUGCUUGUUCCCAGUUUGUUGUAACAAGUUUGGAACAAGCUGUUAACAACUUGUAACAAGCUUGAUGGCAUUAUCAGACUUGUUACAAGACUGUGCUAAUAACUUUGUUACAGCCAUGAUAUAACAAGGAUGUUACAAGGUUGUCAACAGAAGGUUGUAACAAUCUUGUUAUAUCAAGUAUGUAACGGGCUUGUCAGAACAACCUUGCAACAAGUCUGAUAAUUUCGACAAGGUUGUUACAAGUUGUCAACAAGUUGUUCCAAACCUGUUGACAACUUGUGACAAGCAGUGCGAAUACAUCUUGUUCACGGCUUGUUAGCAGACUUGUUACAAGAUGUGAGAUUUUUAUGUGUGUAC